ACGUAUCGUUAUUCUGACUAUACGCCGUAUAGUCAUUUUUUUAGAGAUAUACGCUGUAUAGCCAAUUCAGCUAUCCAGCGGAUUAUCAAAAUGACGAUCCAUAUUAUUAUUUUAGCGUUACUUUUAGUUAAUUUAACUAUACAGAUCCUCACGUUAACGAAACAGUUGCCUGUUUUGACGAAACUACAUAUAUUUACAAGAGCUAUUCUCUGUAUGCUUUUAAGUCAAACAAAUGAAUCCUUAAAUCAGAAAUCCGGAUUGUUAUUUUAAGGAAACGUCAUUUGAGGAUACGUUGGAUAGUCAUUUUAACAAUAUUUUUUUUUCCGUGCGGAAAAAAUUAUUCUUG
rnacentral:lncRNA from 1 species